UAUGGAAGGCAGCAGUGGGGAAUAUUGCACAAUGGGCGCAAGCCUGAUGCAGCCAUGCCGCGUGUAUGAAGAAGGCCUUCGGGUUGUAAAGUACUUUCAGUCGUGAGGAAGGUGUUAAGGUUAAUAACCUUAGCAAUUGACGUUAGCGACAGAAGAAGCACCGGCUAACUCCGUGCCAGCAGCCGCGGUAAUACGGAGGGUGCGAGCGUUAAUCGGAAUUACUGGGCGUAAAGGGCACGCAGGCGGUUAAUUAAGUUGGAUGUGAAAUCCCCGGGCUUAACCUGGGAAUGGCAUUCAAGACUGGUUAGCUAGAGUCUUGUAGAGGGGGUAGAAUUCCAUGUGUAGCGGUGAAAUGCGUAGAGAUGUGGAGGAAUACCGGUGGCGAAGGCGGCCCCUGGGACAAAGACUGACGCUCAUGUGCGAAAGCGUGGGGAGCAAACAGGAUUAGAUACC
rnacentral:rRNA from 1 species